rnacentral:rRNA from 1 species
UGCUAAUCUGCGAUAAGCGCCGGUAAGGUGAUAUGAACCGUUAUAACCGGCGAUACCCGAAUGGGGAAACCCAGUGUGAUUCGUCACACUAUCAUUAACUGAAUCCAUAGGUUAAUGAGGCGAACCGGGGGAACUGAAACAUCUAAGUACCCCGAGGAAAAGAAAUCAACCGAGAUUCCCCCAGUAGCGGCGAGCGAACGGGGAGGAGCCCAGAGCCUGAAUCAGCAUGUGUGUUAGUGGAAGCGUCUGGAAAGGCGCGCGAUACAGGGUGACAGCCCCGUACACAAAAGCGCAUGUGCUGUGAGCUCGAUGAGUAGGGCGGGACACGUGGUAUCCUGUCUGAAUAUGGGGGGACCAUCCUCCAAGGCUAAAUACUCCUGACUGACCGAUAGUGAACCAGUACCGUGAGGGAAAGGCGAAAAGAACCCCGGCGAGGGGAGUGAAAAAGAACCUGAAACCGUGUACGUACAAGCAGUGGGAGC